CCUAAUUCAUCCGUCCUAAGAAGAGGCAGCAUGUCCUAUGAAGGAGAAGAGUGGAGAGUCAAUUCAACAUCGCUCGAUGCUCCAAAUUUAGCCAUAAAGUCUGCACACUCAUUCAUCCAUUGAAAAGACUUCCGCUUUAGAUUGUGUGUUUUCUUUAAACUGACAUUAAAAAAAAGGUAAUCAAACUUUUUCUUAAAAAAAGUUAUUAUAUGGUGAUUUGAUUUGAUUUGUACUAAGAAAAAAAUUAAUCACAUUUUUUAAUAGUGUCGUUUUAAUCUACGAUGAUUUGAUAUGUAUUUGACUAUAGGUUAGGAAUAAAUAAAUGAGAUAAGAACAAAAACUAUAGUUUUUUCAACCGUCCAGUAAUAAAUAAUACCGCGUACACGUACACACGGACAUUACCCGCACAUGGUCACAUCCGUAAUCUUAGCCAAAAACGUAUAAUCUAUUAAAUCACAUUAAUUCCCCUAACUUUCAUUUAUCUCUAUAAAUUCAAUCCCUUCCCUAGUGAAACCAAAACCAAAACCAAAACCAAACAUUUUGAAAACAAAGUCACAAACAAAAAAUGGCAGGAAUCAUCAACAAGAUUGGAGAGGCUCUUCAUGUAGGAGGAGGACACAAGAAAGAAGAUGAACACAAAGGAGAAAAGAGCCAUGAUGACAAGCACAAAGGUGAGAAGAGUCAUGAUGAUAAGCACAAAGGUGAACACAAAGAAGGUAUAGUUGAUAAGAUCAAGGACAAGAUCCAUGGUGGUGAUGGUGAAGGUCAUGAACACAAAGGUGAGAAGAAAGAUAAGAAAAAGAAGGAUAAGAAGAAGAAGGAACAUGGUCAUGAUCAUGAUAGUAGCAGCAGCAGUGACAGUGAUUAGAUCUUCUUCUAAUGUUGUUUCUCUCUUUCUAUGUUAAUUAAGGUAAUCUUGUUUUUUAUUUUACUUUUUUUUGUUAGUAUUAUCAAAUUUUAUUGUUUUGAUCCAUUACAUUGAUAUAUUAUUCCACUUUCUUCAAAAAAUUAGCAUGUAAUCUUACACUUUAUUGUAUCUUAUUUUUUUUAUUUUUUAUAUAAAAUAUCAAAUAUGUUGGCUUUUUGCUUUGGAUCUAAUUUAGUCUUUAGAAUAGAUCCACCUUUCACUACUUUUAUUAUUUAUUGAGGUCAAAAAAACACUUUUUAGAUGAAAAAGAUAUAUUUUUUUGGUGAAAAAGAUCUUUUAUUAUUAAUUAUGUAAAAAUAAAUUAAAUUUAUGACUUGACUUAAAUAUAAUAAAAUAAAAAAGGAAAUGUAUAUGGUCUACAUUUGGAGCAAAUACAUGCCCCCACACGUUUGAAUGGAAACCAUUUAAUGCCAUCAUCAAUGUGUGAGCAACCUGAUUUUUUUUUUCUACAAUAUGCUCCACACAUUUUUCCUAUGAUAUUUUUAAAUUUUUUUGACUAAUAUUUGCAAUUUCCAUGUUUGCAGCGGUGUACAAUACCUUAUGGUUGGGGAGUUUCUAAAGCUCUUUUUACUUAUGAUGCAUUGAUGCACUAAAAUAAUACUUGUGAGAGAGGGAGAAACUAUGUGUAUUUAUUUAUGUCUUUGUUUUAUUGUUGACUUAUUAUGUGCUAAUUGUAAAAGCUCACACCUUUGGUUUGGCUUGGAUGUAGAUUGGCAUGUAUAUAAGAAUAAAUAAAUAUGUUAGUUAUUGGAAAUAUCUUUUUUUUUUUGAAGGAUGGAAAUAUCUUUCUUAAUCUUAUCUUAUAUAAAACCUAUUUAUAUGCUACUAUUCUUAGUAUUUUAUUAAAAUAAACUAAUCAUUUAAAAAAUAACCAAUAAAUCAAUUUUGGACUAUUAUAUAAUCCAUCCGGUUACAUUUAUAAGCAAACAUGUACUUUUUAGGUUCAUUAAUACAUAAUGUAUUUGAUCUAUAUAUUGACCAAAUACAUUAAGCAUUGAAUGAAUUUGUUUGCUUAUAAACGUGACCGGAUGAAGUAUAUGUUACCAUGAUUGCAAGUUAGUAGUAGAUGACAUCAAUGGAACAACAACAUGACACAACAUAAUUUGGCCAACUUUAUCAUGUUGUUAAAUCUUAACUAAAUUUAAUCAAAUUGAUAGGAUUAGUUUCAUCAAGAUUUGGUCCCGUGAAAAGCACAUAGUUUUACGCACUAAUAAAAUUACAGCCGUUGAUAUCAAAUUUGACGGUUUAGAUUACACAUCAAUUUAACACAAUUGAAUGAUUUGAGCUGUUAAUUUAAAUUGGACGGUCCUAAUCUGUUACAUCGUCCGGCUGUAAUAGCAGAAAAUCCAAAUCCCCAUCUUGUACCUAUUCAAACCAUCUUGUACCUAUUCAAACCAUCAUUUUCAUAUUAGAAAAUCUUACUGUCCAUCUUGUACCUAUUCAAACCAUCAUUUUCGAUUCUAAUUUAAAGUCAAUAUUUGCAUUUUUUUUGACUUGUUUUUACAAUCAACAUUGCGACUUUAAGCAGACAAUCAUGAAGACUAAUGCCAAAACAAAUAAAACAUAAAUAAAAAAAAUAAAAAUGUAACGAGCUAGAAGAAAUGCGAAAAAAAUAUCAAUGUGUAUGAAGAGACAAUGUUGUGAUUCUGAAAUAGUGAUAUCAUAUCUAAUUCUACUUCUGAGCUUAUUAAUUAAGGUAACAAAUCCUACAAAAUUAAAAAAAAAUCAAUUUAUUAAACAAUCUAUUGAAAUUAGAAUGUUUUUGUAUGACAUUUCUUUCCGAAUAGACUUGCUACAAAGGAUAAUCUGCGCAAAAGGAAUGUCUUUGAGGCCACUUUUGUGUAUUGUGCGGCUUUGCGUGGUAAGGAGGAUGAAAGGGACCAUCUGUUUUUUCAAUGCGACCACUACGGGCGGCUUUGGCUCUUGAUCUCUCAUUGGUUUGGUAUCGUCACGGUUUUACAUGGUAAUUUACACCCACAUGCUAACCAAUUUUGUCCUCUUGGAGGUUUCUCAAAGAACUCUAGGACGGGCUUUACUGCUAUAUGGAUUUCGACAUUAUUUGUUAUUUGGAAAGAUCGUAACAGGAGAAUAUUUCAAAAUCAAAUUGAUCAUCUUGAUGCUCUUCUUGGGAGGGUUAAACUUCAAAUGUAUUGGUGGUUGAAAGCGAAUUACAUCAUGUUCGACUUUGACUACCUCCAUUGGAAGAAAAACCCCUUAGAUUGUUUACAGACUGUUUUGUAAUGUCUGUUUUUGAAUUUUGGGUUGUUUAUAACCUGUAAGUAUUGUAAUUAACACUUUCCAGCUCCCUUAGGCAUGCCUUGUGCUUUAGGGACUGCUUAUUUAUUUAAUAUAUUUCGUUUAGUUUCUUAAAAAAAAUGUUUUUGAAUAUGUUAAUACUUUUUUAAAAUCACAAAACUUCUUGAUUAAAUACCCGAAAACUUAUUAAGAUUAAGUAAGGGUUUUAAUUGAGUGACUUUUUUUAUUAGAAAAAGUCUUUUAAAUCCUAAUUGAAUACACCCAUAAACCCCUAAAGCAUAUCACUUACUAUUUCAUCAAAAUACUCUUAGAGUGCGUUUGUUUCAAGUUAUCUUUGUAGACUCUUGAGAAUAAAAUGAUCGAAUUAUACAUGCCUAUUUUUGUUAUAAGUUUACUAAAUUUUAUUUCAGGAUAUAAAAUGUUCAUGAGAAUAGAAAAUAAAUUUAAAGAAAAAUGUUAGAAUAAAGUUCCCAUGAAAACGAGAAUAAAUUCUGAAGUAGAUAUAGAAGUCACAAGAAAGGGAGUUUGAAUUAUGACCCUUUUUAAAUUUUAAUCUUGUACUUAAAAAAUACUUCUCAAGUUGAAACUUGGAAGAGCAAAGUUAAAACAUACUUCAUAAUGUUCUGAAGUAUUAGUGUAAAACAAAAUAUCCAAGAUAAAUAAUUUUGUGAGUUCAUCCAACGUGGGCUAGUCCACUCCUCACAAUGUGAGAGUUUUCCACUACGAUGCUUGAGACAACAUUCUCAACUCCUGCACCUUACAACUUUGUUCCCUUGGAACAAUUACAACCUGUAUUCUCUAAGCCUCAGCAUACUCACAACUUUCUUUGCUAAGUCACAAAAGACUUUACACUUUUCUAUUCAACUAACACUUUAAUACCCUUAAAGCUAGAUGAGAUUUUCUCUUGCAAAUGAUUUGGAACUUUGACUGAAUUUGGGCAAGAAGAAGAAGAGGAGAAUAUUAUCUUUAUGACGAUAAGAGAAGACUGUUGCACAUUCUUUAAGAUUUUAGGAAUCUUUAGAGUUGAUUUGCUGCUAUGAAGCUUUAAACACUUUUAAUAAGUUGUUUAAGUAUGCUUGUAAGUUGCGUGCUUCAAUGCUGAGUCUUCUGCCCCUUUUAUAGUUUAUUGACCUCAUGUAGUUAUUAGGAUGUGUCCAAUAGUCUUGUGCCACUUGUAUUGGUACUUAGCAACAUUUGCUUAAAAAACUUGAUCAACAUUCAUAACUUUAGAAUGUUCAAGGUUCAUUAUGUAUGAAUGUUAGCUGAAUUUCUGGGUUUCUUCAUGGGCCUUGUUCUUUGUGUGAACUUCAGAAUGUUCUUGGACUCAUGUAUUUGCAGAUCUGUCUUGGAACUUGUGCAGGAGAGAGGAAAGUGGGAUUGUCACUUCAUUCCCAUGCUUUAGGGGAUUUCACUGGUCUUUUACUAUACCUGCUCCGAUACGUGUCUAACUCUGAUUGAACGAGACUUGAGUUAGCUUUUUGCUUUUGCUCUUACUUUUGUACCAAUUGUACUGUUCUGUCAGAUAGAGCAUGUGCUGAAAAUGAACCUUCUGAACUUCAGAAUGUUCAUCUAUUUCACUUAGGAUGAUUUGUAAGAUUUCUAUUUGAUGUAAUCAAAUCUUAACAGUAAAACAUCAAUGAAGUGCAGUGUGUAUAACAUCUAGGAUGAUAUUCUUAGAGGAAUAUUCCUAAUGUUUUGUACUUCAAUUGUUCAUAAGUCUUUAAUGAACAAUGAAUAUGCCUUUUGACUUUUAUCAAAAUAGAUGUCUUUAACCCUUGAUUGAUCUAAGUUAUAAUAAUUUUUUGGACUUUUAUUUAUGUCACGUGAGCCUUGAAUGUUCUUUAUAAUGUCCAUAUAUUUCUGGGCUUGAUAUUGAUAACUAUAAGAACAACCUUUUGAACUAUCUUGAACCUUCUGAACUAUGUCCAACCUUUUGAACUCUGUUCAACCUUAUGAACUUUAACUUGGUUCAUAAGUCUUAAUGUUCUUUGAUUGCUUGCUUCUUGGUUUGAUUUAUACUAUGUUUCUGUCUUAGUUAAUCAAUCAAGAACACAUAUUAAAUACCAAUAAACUAAUCAAAGUCCAUUAAUCUUUUAAUCAUCAAAGUUUGUUAUCUUUAAAAUCAAUCAGGGAUGUUUGCCAUAACAAAUUAAUUAGGGAUUUUGCCUCAACUACCUAUUAUAAUCUUUAUUUUUAAGGUUCAUGAGAAUAUUAUAAUGUUACCCAAUCAUCUUUUUAUCUAAAUACCUUUGAAUAAAAUUCACAUAUUUAUAAUCCAAGGAAUGUUAUUCCUAAUAAUAAACUUGGUAAACUUGAAACAAACACACCGUUAGGUCAAUACAGGAGAUCAUAUAUUUGUCAAAUCAGGGUAAUAGCUGCUGUAGUCUCUGAACGUGUAACAGUAACCAAAAUAAUCCUCUCAAUGCUCACAUUAACACUUUUUAUAUAGAGAUUUUGUACGACAGUAAAUACUUAUAAUGAUCGAUAUGAUAAUAACUGAGUACAUUAAGGGAUUGAUAUGAUAAUAUUAGCGAGACAUUUUAACAGAAGAGACCAUUUUGACUAAUAUAGUGCACAAUCAAAAACUAUUUUAAAAUUUUGAUACAUUAUUAUAACUACUCCAUCCGUCCCAUAAUAAGUGAGCCAUUUACAAAAAGAAAUAUUAUUCCAAUUUUUUUUUGAUCCACUUUACUUUUCAAUACUAUAUUAGGGGAUCUUGUUAACGAGUGCCCCCGAAACACUCUUUAAACAUCUUAAAUUUAGUAUUUUUCUUUUAAAAAGUCAAUUAUUAUAAUUUCUAAUACAUUCAGUACACAACUUUUCAUUUAAAAAUUUACCAUUUAAAGUGAUUAAAGAGUGCCCGGAGCACUCGUUAACAUUCCCCAAAAAUAAAACCCACCGAGGAAGUACUUGUUUCACAUACAUAUAGUCAAAUUAUAUUAUAGGAAUCUUAUAGUGUGUUUGGAAGGGGAAAUGUUUUGAGGGAAUGUAAUGUUUUGAGGGAAUUCAACUACUUUGAGGUGAAUUCUAUUGUUUGAAUCCACCUCACAAUAAUUGAAUUCCCUCAAAACAUUACAUUACCUCAAAAUAUUCCUCCAUCCAAACACACUCUUAAGAACCAGAGACACAUAGUAAAUUCAUUCACUUGUGUGGUGCACGCGUGUAGUAACAAGUACAAAGUUCGUGCUGGUUCAUUCUUCUGAUUCAUCAAACCCUAAUUUCACAAUUCAAAGUUCUUGCUGCAUUCUUCUCACACAAGGUGAAUCUAUACUAUUCUCUUAAUUAAGAUUUUAUGAUUCUUGAUUUAGCACAAGCACUUAUUAUGGUAAACACUUAUGUAUAAGUUUACAUAAGAUAUUUUUAUAACAAAAGAUAAAAUGUUUUUGUAUAUGCUAAGGGACAAUGCAUAUUAUAUGCAUGGGCCGGGGUUCCAACCCCGAAAACCCCACUUAUUCACUUUAAGGUGAAUUUCUCUAGCCACUAUGCUACUUGACCAAAUAAAAAAGUUGUUUUCAUAAGCUAUAUUGUAGAACUUAUGAAAUUAAGUUGAAAAAAGCUUAUCAAAAGUGUCAUAAGCUGUUUUCACAAGAAGAUAAACUUAAAUAAGCCAAUUCAAACAUGCGUUAUAACUAUUAUGUAAUUUGUUAUCAAGUUUUAAUUUUUGGUAUGAAAACAUGAAUCAUAGCUAUAGUUUUCUUGAUUAGUAAUGUGAACUUUCUCACUGUUGUAAAACAAAUAGGGAAAAAUUGGUAGAUUUUGAGUAAGAUUUCAUGUUAGAUACCUUGGAGAUAAUUUAUUUGAUUUCCUUUGCACUCACCUCCAAUUAUUGUCAAGUUAUAGGAAAUAUGUCUGCUGAAGGGGAUGUUCAUGUUCGUGUUCCUCAUGAAGUACUUUCGCAUGUCAACCAUGAACCCUAAUCUCAUCUUUGUUUAAACCAAGAUAAUUGCCCUCCCGACACGAAAAACAUUGCUGUUUUGUGGAACAAUUAAUUGGUUGAUAACCGCAAACGAACAUUAAGAAAUGUAAAUAAAACAGCAAGAGAAGUUGCAGAGUUAGAAGAUGAGUUAGCAUCCUCAAAUUAUGUUUGCUCGGUAAUCGUUUUGCUGCAGCAUAAUGUAUUGUUUGGUUUGAUGGUACCUCAAGGAGGCAAAAGAAUGCGUAUGCUUUGGCAAAAAGUGC
rnacentral:lncRNA from 1 species